GGCCUAACACAUGCAAGUCGAGCGGUAGAGAGAAGCUUGCUUCUCUUGAGAGCGGCGGACGGGUGACUAAUGCCUAGGAGUCUGCCUGGUACUGGGGGAUAACCUUCGGAAACGGACGCUAAUACCGCACACGUCCUACCGAAGAAAGCAGGGGACCUUCGGGCCUUGCACUAUCACAUGAGCCUAGGUCGGAUUAGCUAGUUGGUGAGGUAAUGGCUCACCAAGGCGACGAUCCGUAAGUGGUCUGAGAGGAUGACCAGUCACACUGGAACUGAUACACUGUCCACACUCCCACCGUAGGCAGCAGUGGGGAAUAUUGGACAAUGGGCGAAAGCCUGAUCCAGCCAUGCCGCGUGUGUGAAGAAGGUCUUCGGAUUGUAAAGCACUUUAAGUUGGGAGGAAGGGCAGUUACCUAAUACGUGAUUGUUUUGACGUUACCGACAGAAUAAGCACCGGCUAACUCUGUGCCAGCAGCCGCGGUAAUACAGAGGGUGCAAGCGUUAAUCGGAAUUACUGGGCGUAAAGCGCGCGUAGGUGGUUAGUUAAGUUGGAUGUGAAAUCCCCGGGCUCAACCUGGGAACUGCAUUCAAAACUGACUGACUAGAGUAUGGUAGAGGGUGGUGGAAUUUCCUGUGUAGCGGUGAAAUGCGUAGAUAUAGGAAGGAACACCAGUGGCGAAGGCGACCACCUGGACUGAUACUGACACUGAGGUGCGAAAGCGUGGGGAGCAAACAGGAUUAGAUACCCUGGUAGUCCACGCCGUAAACGAUGUCAACUAGCCGUUGGGAGCCUUGAGCUCUUAGUGGCGCAGCUAACGCAUUAAGUUGACCGCCUGGGGAGUACGGCCGCAAGGUUAAACUCAAUGAAUUGACGGGGGCCCGCACAAGCGGUGGAGCAUGCGGUUUGAUUCGAA
rnacentral:rRNA from 1 species